rnacentral:rRNA from 1 species
CGGGUGAGUAACACGUAUGCAACCUGCCUGCCACAGCCGGAUAAUCGGGAGAAAUUCCGUCUAAUACGGCAUAAUGCAUCGACGGGACAUCCUGUUGGUGCCAAAGGUUAAUUCCGGUGGCGGAUGGGCAUGCGUCGCAUUAGUUAGCUGGCGGUGUAACGGACCACCAAGACGACGAUGCGUAGGGGUUCUGAGAGGAAGGUCCCCCACACUGGUACUGAGACACGGACCAGACUCCUACGGGAGGCAGCAG